rnacentral:rRNA from 1 species
UACAGAGGGUGCGAGCGUUGUUCGGAAUUACUGGGCGUAAAGCGUGCGUAGACGGCUAUCUAAGUCGGGUGUGAAAGCCCCGGGCUCAACCUGGGAAUUGCAUUCGAGACUGAAUAGCUAGGGUACGGUAGAGGGAAGCGGAAUUUCCGGUGUAGCGGUGAAAUGCGUAGAUAUCGGAAGGAACAUCAGUGGCGAAAGCGGCUUCCUGGACCAGUACCGACGUUCAGGCACGAAAGCGUGGGGAGCAAACAGG